UUUGAACUUGUGGCUACCAAGUAACGUUUGAGGCCAACAGAGUUGACAAACACUCAUUUAUUGUGUCUAUGCAAAGUUCUGGAAUCAACCCCUAAGGUCCCCCCACUCCUUCAAAAAUCCUCUCUUUUAUCCUACAACACUCUAAUCAUCGUCAUCAACCACCUCCUCCAUCCUCCCCCAGUAACAACACAACAUAACAUUCAGAGAAAAACAAAACUAUCAUACCCACAUGGAUUUGCAAUGAAAGUGAGAGAGUCCAAUUAUGCGAACGCUUUGUGAUGCUUGUGAGAGCGCCGCGGCUAUAGUUUUCUGCGCCGCUGAUGAGGCUGCACUUUGUCGUGCCUGUGAUGAGAAGGUUCACAUGUGCAACAAGCUAGCUAGUAGGCAUGUGAGGGUUGGUCUUGCUAGUCCAAGUGAUGUACCACGGUGUGACAUAUGUGAGAAUGCACCUGCUUUCUUCUAUUGCGAGACAGAUGGAAGUUCCCUUUGUUUGCAGUGUGAUAUGAUUGUUCAUGUUGGAGGUAAAAGAACGCAUGGAAGAUAUCUUCUGUUCAGGCAAAGAGUUGAGUUUCCAGGAGAUAAAUCUAGUCAUGCUGAAAAUCCGGCUUCACAACCAUUGGAACCAGGUGAGGCUAAAAGAGGACAAAAUCCACUUCCCAAACUAAAAAUGGGAGAGAAGCAACAAAAUCACAAGAUGCCUAUGGUUCCAACGCCAGGACCUGAUGCUGAUGGGCAUGCCAAGAUGGAAAGUAAAAUGAUUGAUUUGAACAUGAAGCCUAAUAGAAUACAUGAACAAGCAUCAAAUAAUCAGGUAUUCAAUAAAUUCUCAUAAAACUUAAACUGCAUGUGGUUGAAGAGUUGAUGUGAACAAUGGUAUCGAUCAUAAUUGAACACCCCUCCCCCUUUUUAACUCAACUUCAAUAUCAAUACCAUAUCGUUCCUCUUUCCAUCUUCAGUGCAGUUGGAUGAAAGUAGAACCCUUGAACGCUUUUCUUUUUUCCUUUGCAGCCAUAAAUGGCGCAACUAGGCAAUGCAGUUCUGACAGGAUCCUAAACCAAAAAUCUACCAAUGGCAAAAGCUUCGUUUUGUUCUCGUGCAUGCUAGUCACAAGGAUGACAUACUCUAUUAAUAUCCUAUAUAUUCUGGCAAAUGAGGCACCAGAAUCCUUUGAGGAGUUUGUUCGCCUACGUAGGAACUUAAUUUGGUAGUUCAACACAUCAUAUUCUGUACUGCAAAGCAUUGUUAACUGUAUAUCUAUGACCCCUUUCAAUGAAUUGUGUGUUGACUUUUGUUUCUGGUUUCAGUUUUGUAUGCCAUUGCGUCCCCUAUAAAAUUCAGGGGGAAAAGAGUUAUUUGAAUUUUUUAAAAAUAAAAUGCGACAAUUGUACA